GCCCGAGUGGUGAAAUCGGUAGACACAAGGGAUUUAAAAUCCCUCGCUUUCGAAGCGUGCCAGUUCAAGUCUGGCUCGGGCACCA
rnacentral:tRNA from 1 species